AUGGUAGGAUAGAGGCCUACCAUGGUGGUAACGGGUAACGGGGUGUUAGGGCACGACACCGGAGAGGGAGCCUGAGAAACGGCUACCACAUCCAAGGAAGGCAGCAGGCGCGCAAAUUACCCAAUCCCGACACGGGGAGGUAGUGACAAUAAAUAACAAUACAGGGUUCUUUAGGAUUCUGUAAUUGGAAUGAGUACAAUUUAAAUCUCUUAACGAGGAACAAUUGGAGGGCAAGUCUGGUGCCAGCAGCCGCGGUAAUUCCAGCUCCAAUAGCGUAUAUUAAAGUUGUUGCAGUUAAAAAGCUCGUAGUUGAAUUUCGGGAUCAAUACGUCGGUCGUGCUUCGGUACGUACUGGCGUCAUUGAUUUCUCCCUUCUGACGAACCAUGAUGUCAUUAACUUGGUGUCUUGGGAAAUCAGGACUGUUACUUUGAAAAAAUUAGAGUGUUUAAAGCAGGCUCACACUUGAAUACAUUAGCAUGGAAUAAUGAAAUAGGACGUUCGAUCCUAUUUUGUUGGUUUUAGGAUCAACGUAAUGAUUAAUAGGGAUAGUUGGGGGCAUUAGCAUUCAAUUGUCAGAGGUGAAAUUCUUGGAUUUAUUGAAGACUAACUACUGCGAAAGCAUUUGCCAAGGAUGUUUUCAUUAAUCAAGAACGAAAGUUAGGGGAUCGAAGACGAUCAGAUACCGUCGUAGUCUUAACCAUAAACUAUGCCGACUAGGGAUCGGAUGAUGUUAAUUUUUUAAUGACUCAUUCGGCGCCUUACGGGAAACCAAAGUGUUUGGG
rnacentral:rRNA from 1 species